UUGGAAGCCAGAAGAGGACAUUAGCUCUUUUGGAACUAGAAUUCUAGGUGGCUGAAAGCUACCGGAUGUGGGUGCUGGAACCAAACUCUGUUCCCCUGCAAGAGCAGUAAGGAUUCUGAACCUCUGAGCCAUCUCUCCAGCCCCCAAUAUCAUGCGAUUCUUUUAAGGGGUACAAGACAUCUGGAAGCUGGGGCUCCAGGAAGCGUGUCCCAUACCCUGUUCUGGUGGACUUCAGCAAGCAGCGCAGGAGAGACUGCAGCAGCCCGAGAUAAGCUUGGGUGAGGAGAGGAAGCCAAGAGGUGAAGAUGUCCUGCAGCCCCGUCACUGACAGUUCAGAAACAAAGAAACUACAUUUCCACACCCACAUUCCUUGCUGUAACUCCUCAAAGGCCUGGGGAUCACCUUGUCCUCAUCAAGAUUGCUACCCAGAUAAUUCACAAUACUCAUCUGGUCCACUGGGUUCAUGCCAAGCUGAACUAUAUGAGAUCCGGCCUCA